UACGAAGGGGGCUAGCGUUGUUCGGAUUUACUGGGCGUAAAGCGCACGUAGGCGGAUCGUUAAGUCGGGGGUGAAAUCCUGGAGCUCAACUCCAGAACUGCCUUCGAUACUGGCGAUCUUGAGUCCGGAAGAGGUGAGUGGAACUCCUAGUGUAGAGGUGGAAUUCGUAGAUAUUAGGAAGAACACCGGUGGCGAAGGCGGCCCACUGGCUCGAUACUGACGCUGAGGUGCGAAAGCGUGGGGAGCAAACAGG
rnacentral:rRNA from 1 species